rnacentral:lncRNA from 1 species
GAUGAGUGGAGGGAGGGUUCCUUUUUCAUUUCCUACAUUUUCUCAGUAACCAAUUAUAUGAUUAAUUUGAUUUGAAAUUUUAUGCAUUUUGGUAUCUGAGUUUUAGAUUUUUCUCAAUCUAAGAGCUAGUUUCGUUUUAUUAGAUUUUCUCGAAAAGAUUAAAUCCAACUUGAGAGCUGAACCUAAUAUCAGAAUCACUUUUUUAAUUGUUGAAAGGAUUGAAAUUUUGUGCGAUGAAUUAAUAGCCGGUUCUUGCUCUUCCAUGUAUUCAAUUCUGUUUUGAAGAUGAGUUACUGCGUGUGUGUUUGUGGACAAUAUUUCUGGUUUGAGGUAAAUUAUUACAUGUCAAAACUAAUCUAGAUGUUCAAUAUUUCUAUGUUUAUGAUAGUUAUUUUGUUCUACUUCAAUUGAUCUUGUGUUUUCACUUAUAAUUGACUGACUUAUAUCCCAUUUAAUUUUCUGAAGCCUGGUUGAUCCAUUUCUAUGGUAGGCUAAGUUGUGGUGUGACUGCCCUUUCUGGCUAGAUGACUUGCGAGAUUCCUGUGUUUGUGAAUGCCUUGAAAGUGAGUUCCCUGAAUCAUUUAAGAAGCUCUUUAAUCAUGACUUUUCAUCAAAAGAUCUCAUUUAUCAAGAGGGAAAGCCGCAGGCUGUUGUCAACUGUACACUAGAUGCCAAAGCUUUCAAAGGCUGGGUAGAAGUAAACAAUAUGAUGAGACUGACAACGGUGGAUUCUUUUUAGUCAAUAACACUGUAUCUUUUUUGCUUUUAAGUUACUCUUAUGGUUUUGAUGGUUCAUUUUCAUUUGCAGCAGAGAUGACAUCUGAAUUAGUGUUGGGGUUCCUAAUCAGGGUUUAGGGCUGGCUAGGUUCUGACAUUUUUCUUGCUUCUGCUAUUUUUUUCCUUUAAAUCUAUCUCAGUUGAAGUUAUUUCCUUCUCUAUUUUUUACCACUGUUAUUUCUUUCUUUGCUAUGUCACCUGCUUAUAAAAGUUAGAUCUUCACACUUUUAAAACCUUAGUUUUGUUAAGCUAUAUUAGCCAUCUUCCUUAUAGUUUGACAUGCAUGGAGAAUGUGAUUAAAUGUAGUAGUAGUAAACUAGUAUAUGGUAAUAUUGUUUUCCUCGUCAAAGUAAGCAUUGUAUAGUUGUUGUUUGGUUCCUUUAGCUUAUUUAGCUUAUUAUAAUUUUAACUUUAAAUGCUUAUUAUAUUUAACAUGGUCACUUUGUAUCUUGUUUUAGUUUAUUGUAUGGGCUCCAACAAGGGAGAGCACAUUGUAUGAAAAGGGCUCUUGAUGACACUAUUACAUUAAAGGAAAAAUAGUUACCUGGUUAGUCAGGAGAAAAAAUGCUGGCAUUUCCCUUUUGGACUUUCUCUGUUUGUUUCUUGGAAAUAACAGGGGAAAAAAUAUAAAGAAUAUCCAAUAAUUUUCCUUCUAAUUCUUACCCUAAAUGAUUGGUGGCAAGGCUUAUUUUUGUGCCCUUGGGUAAAAAAAGGGUACAGAUACACAUUUUAGAGGAGUAUUCUGAAUAAUAGAGUUGUAAAAAGCAGGGCGGAAAUUAUGCUCUGUUUGGUUUUACAUGGCAACAAAUACUGGAAACAAUUUUCCGUUGCUCCAUGUGUUUGCGUAAGAAAAUUGCUCUCGUUCAUCCCAUUCAUAUUGUUCAUUCACUGAUAUGAAGACCUUCAAGAUGAUGGAUCUUCAUAAGCCAGUAUUAGAUUUUGCUUAUUUUGCAUUUUUUUUCCCACUAAAUGCAGUUUUAUAUCUAAAAAUCCAGCCUAUAGAUAAAAAAUUAUAAGAAUUUUUGCUCAAUUGGGUUCCUUGUGGGUUUCUUUUUUUAACUAAUAUAAAUAAUAAAUAUAACUUUUAACAUUAUAAAAUAUACAUCCUCAUGGCACAUAAUUGGUUGGUUCGAUGAAAUUGGUGUUUAAUUACCUAUGUGAGGAUCAGCACCUUGAUUCUUGAGUUCUUUGUACUUUUGACAAAGAGCACAUACACAGUAGCAUCAAUGAACCAACAAAUCCCUACUUGGAGCCUUUGACAGUUAAAAUAGUGCCUGGAAUUUGGACUUGAGCAAAAAGAGUUUACUCCUUUUGUUUGAGGCUGAUGACAGUUGACACCAUCCCUUAUUCUUUAAAAGUUCCUAAUAUUUGUAGAACAUCAGCUUCACUUUGUAGGAUGUUGGUGGUCAGGAUAAUGUAUUAACAUUUGUUUACGAACCAUAUUAUGCUAUUCUUUGCAUAUUUCAAAAUAUAUACUCAUAUAUAGCCAUUAUUUCUGUAUAAGAUUUUUAACUCUCUCUUUCUCUCUGUCAUGCCAUAUCUUAUUGACAAAGUUAUUACUAAAAUUUUAAUUCAUAUAAUGGCUUAAAAAAUAAUUUGAUUCUUACAUAGAUUCCUCCAUUGUGGAGGCAAUAUUUCCAAAACACACAAGGUCUUAUAUUUGUGGUGGAUAACAAUGAUAGAGAUCAAGUUGUUGAGGUCAGGAAUGAGUUGCAUAGGAUAUUGUUGAAUGAGGUAUCUUACUAUUUAGUAAAAUCCAUCUUUGUGGUGGAUAACAAUGAUAGAGAUCAAGUUGUUGAGGUCAGGAAUGAGUUGCAUAGGAUGUUGAAUGAGGUAUCUUACUAUUUAGUAAAAUCCAUCUCUAUUUAAAUUUAUAUAUAUAUAUAUAUAUAUAUAUAUAUAUAUGCAUAUUCGCAGAACUGGACUACCCAGUUUCGUCAAUUUAAAAUUUCAGUUUCCUAAUUAAUUGAAAUACAAUAUAAAUUUAGGAUAUGUGUGAGACCCACAUAGAGGGUCAGAACGCCAUAUCCGGCAAUUUCCGAUCAUCUUCAAAGCAUUUGGAACAAGUAAAGAUAGUGUUGCAGUGCAUUUUUCUCAUGGCCCUGCAGUCAGCCUCUUCAAUCUUUCAUGCACCCUUGAAGAGUCUAUGCCGAUUCUAGAACAAACAGCCUGCAAAAAUCAAUCAAAUGACAUUAAUACUAAACAAAGACUGGCAAUGGAAUCAAUCUGUUCUAUUGCAUCUGAAGAUAUUUCUACCUGUGAAUAAACAAUAUAGUUGAUCCUAUCGCCAGCACGGGAGUAGCUAACAAAUACAACUGGAGCUGCUUCCUCCUCAAGAACAUCUAGGGCCCGGGUCAGGAUGAACUUGUCAUUUGACCUGCUAAUCAAACAUACCUCUACCGCAGAAUCCAAUUCUGUCACUGUGAAAACAGUUGACAUCGAGCCCCUCAUGUUAGUAUUCAACCAAGAUGAAUACCCUAAUUUCAUAUAUACUGGAAUAGUCUUGUUAAAAUCAACCAAGAUGAAUACCCUAAUUUCAUAUAUACUGGAAUAGUUAACAAGGUAAAUACCCUAAUUUCAUAUAUAUUGGAAUAUUUAACAAGGUGAAUACCCUAAUUUCAUAUAUACUGGAAUCUCCUGAUUAAAAACAAUGAGUAGAAAAAUAAUAGCGGAAGUAUACCUGAAUCCAUUGAAGAAGAAACCUUAUAGGAAGAAAACCCUUUGAGAUGGUCUUCCAAUUUUAGCCACUAGAUUCUGUGUCAAUUUCUCUCUGAGAGGAUUUUCAGAAAUUGGAAUGCGUAGUCGUAGAAUGGGGACCAUAACCCUAUUUAUAAACCGCUAGGGCAGUUUUAAUUUUAUCACAAUUAUAUUUCUGCCCCUCAUAGAAAUAAUAAUUGUCUAAUGGUAUCUACACAAUAAUCUCAUGACAAUUAUACCCUUAAGCCAAUUAAUCAAUUAUUAAUUAGAUCACUAUAUUUAGACUUAAUUAAAUGAUAGCACACACAUUUUAAUUAUUUACACGUGUGACCCAAAUUAUAGAUUAAUUACAAAAAUUAAUCUAACAAUCUCCCACUGGGCCACAUGCAUAUGUAAUCAAAUAAAUGUGUUAAACCUUAUGAGCUCAAAAUUUGCUAUCAUGUCCUUAGGGUAUAUCCGAACAAUCUCGUCCAUUAACUAUACUGACAUAGGAUCAAGGUGGCCUUUGUUACAUCAAUCGUUACUAGACCAAUCAAUGGUCACGUAUAUCUGCACAGCUAAAUGACAUAGAUCAAUCAUGAGUGCAUAGCAUGGAAAUUACAUGCAAUGUGAUCUAUUCAUGCCUAUUUCCAACUGGUCCAACUUAACUUUAUUGAGAUCAAAUCUUUAGCAUAAUUUAACAGAGUGCAAUAAAAUGAAUACUUUAUUUCUGCAGAACACAAUCCAAAUGUAUAGAUAAAGUCUAAACAUAACAUAGAGCAAUAUACAAUGAAUAAUAUAAACUCCCACUAAAUUUGGAUAUCCUCAAAUGAGACAACACCCAUAUGAGCAGUGUGCUCAUGAAAGACCUUGGGUGGUAAUCCCUUUGUAAGCGGAUCCGCUAUCAUGGAGUUUGUUCCAAUAUGCUCUAUGGAUAUCUGUCCACUCUGUACUUUUUCUUUUACAACUAGGAACUUGAUAUCAAUGUAUUUUGAUUUUGUAGAACUCCUGUUGUUAUUGGAAUAUAAAACUGUUGAUUUAUUGUCACAAAAUAUCUUCAGUGGUCUUUCAAUACCAUCCAGAACACGCACCCCAGUGACAAAAUUUCGUAGCCAUAUUCCUUGAUUGGAUGCCUCAUAACAUGCUACAAACUCUGCUUCCAUGGUGGAUGAAGUUACGAGUGUCUGUUUGGCAGACCUCCAUGAAAUUGCUCCACCAACCAACAGAUAAAUAUAGCCUGAUGUGGAUCUUCUGCUGUCUUGGCAUCCAGCAAAGUCGGAGUCAACCAAUAGGUUUCGUACCAACUGGUAAUGGGACAAGUUCCCAAACUUUAUUGUCUUGCAUAGAUUUGUACUCUUCAUUCAUGGCUUCAAUCCAUUUCUGAGAGUUGGAACUUUUCAUGGCUUGCUGGAAGUUGAUUGGAUCAUCUUCCAUCAUUCCACUUUCUACCUCACGUUCCUGGAGAUAUACGAUAUAAUCGUCCGAAAUUGCAUUUCUCCUCUCUCUAGUGGAUCUCCUUAAUGACAUAUUUUCUUGAGGUUGUUGAGUUUGUUCUUCAGGAGCAAUGUCCUCAUUUGCAAUUAAGGGUUGAACAAUAUUGUCUGUUGGUUGAGGAUCCAAAUUUACUUCUUGAUCAAUGAUAGGUAGUGAAACCUGUACAUUAUCAAAAGCAAUAGUAGAUCCCUCUUCCUCCUCAAAGACAAUAUUCCUAGCCUGAUUUCUCCCCCCAAACUCAACAUCCUCAAAAAAUGUUGCAGUUCCCGUCUCAAAAAUUGACCUAAUAGCAGGAUCAUAAAAUUUAAAACCCCUUGAUCGCUCUGCAUAGCCAAUAAAGUAACUGCUAACUGUUUUAGAGUCCAAUUUCUUUUCAUGAGGCUUAUAAGGUCUCGCUUCAGCUGGACAUCCCCAAAUAUGAAAAUGCUUUAAAUUGGGCUUUCGACCCGUCCAAAGCUCAUAAGGAGUUUUAGCAGCCGCUUUAGUUGGCACCCGAUUUAGGAUAUAAGCUGCCGUUUUGAGUGCUUCACCCCAGAGUUUUUCGGGUAAAGUAGAAUGACUAAUCAUACUCCUUACCAUGUCCUUAAGGGUUCGGUUUCGUCUUUUUGCUACACCAUUCAUGCUAGGUGAUCCUGGCAUGGUGUAUUGAGGGACGAUCCCACAUUCCUCUAGGUAUUUAGCAAAUGGUCCUGGAUGUUGUUCACCUGAUCCGUCAUAUCUACCGUAGUAUUCACCACCAUGGUCAGAUCUGACGCUCUUUAUUCUUUUGUUGAGUUGUAACUCAACUUCUGCUUUAAAUGUUUUGAACACAUCCAAUGAUUGUGAUUUCUCAUGUAUAAGAAAUAGGUAGCCAUAUCUUGAGUAGUCGUCUAUGAAUGUUAUAAAGUACUGUUGACCAUUCCAAGAUGCCGUAGGGUAUGGUCCACAGAUAUCUGUAUGAAUUAAUUCUAAGACGUCUGUAGCUCUAUUGGCACCUAAUUUCUUUGUUUUGGUCUGUUUUCCUUUAAUACACUCAACACAAAUAUCAAAAUCUGAAAAGUCAAGUGAAUCCAAAAUCCCAUCGGACACAAGUCGCUCAACUCUAGAUUUAGAGAUAUGACCUAGGCGUUUGUGCCACAAUGAGACCGAAUUAUCUUUAUUCAAUUUACGUUUUGUACCUCGUGAUUCCACAUGCAAGGUUUCAUUAUAGGACGGAACAGUUUCCAACAAAUAUAGAUUAUCAUAAACAUUAAGUAAACCGGUUCCUACAACAUUUGAAUUAAUAGAUAAUGUAAAUUUAUUGUUUCCAAAUGAACAACAAUAACCUGAUUUGUCCAAAACAGAAANNNNNNNNNNNNNNNNNNNNNNNNNNNNNNNNNNNNNNNNNNNNNNNNNNNNNNNNNNNNNNNNNNNNNNNNNNNNNNNNNNNNNNNNNNNNNNNNNNNNNNNNNNNNNNNNNNNNNNNNNNNNNNNNNNNNNNNNNNNNNNNNNNNNNNNNNNNNNNNNNNNNNNNNNNNNNNNNNNNNNNNNNNNNNNNNNNNNNNNNNNNNNNNNNNNNNNNNNNNNNNNNNNNNNNNNNNNNNNNNNNNNNNNNNNNNNNNNNNNNNNNNNNNNNNNNNNNNNNNNNNNNNNNNNNNNNNNNNNNNNNNNNNACCUCAUCCUCUUGAGUACUUUGCUCAUUGAGUUCAUCGGGUUUGGGCAUUCUCAAGGCCAAGUCUAUAUCCAUGCAGCCUAAGAGAAUCAUCAUAUUCUCUUUCCAGUCCUUAAAAUUAGUCCCAUUUAACAUAGGGACAUUAUUGAUGUUGGCAGAUAUAGAAGUAGUUGAUAUAAAAGCUGAAUCCAGAACAAAAUAAAAUGAAUCAAAUAAACCAUCAUGCUCACAUAAAAUAAGCAAUUAAACACAUAAUCUUUAAAUUUAAAAGCAAAUUAUGACAUUUCAAGAUACCUAGCACAACAUUAAUAUCAAGUCUUUGGACAGUAAUAUUAACUGUAAGUGGUACUCUUGUUGUAGUGAUCAAACAUUGAUGAUAAGUUAUGUCAAAUAAUAAAUCUAUCUUUGGAUUGAUUUAUUAUUCACAUUAAGUUACCUUUAUAAUCAUCACAUAUUUAUCACCACAAGUAUGUAUGCAAUUUGACCAAAUAUUAACUUUCCUUUGGGCCAGUCAAUACCUGCAUGAAUCACAUACACACAAAUAUCUAACACCUCGAACAGACUAAUCUACACGGAAGAUGUCACUUUGGUGAUUUUCCGCUUUAAUUAGCCUAUUUAAAAUGCUAGAUUAAUAACUUAAAUAUUAAUAUCAUAAAAUGCUAUUAAAUAAUAAUAAUAAUAAUAAUAAUAAUAAAAAUUUAUCAACUCAAUAUUUCAUAAAUCUUAAUCCAUUGACAUAUAUAUAUAUAUUAAAAUAAUAACUCAAAGAAUUAAUCAAGGAGUAGGCUCUGAUACCACUUGUUAGUAUUCAACCAAGAAGAAUACCCUGAUUUCAUAUAUACUGGAAUAGUCUUGUUAAAAUCAACCAAGAUGAAUACCCUAAUUUCAUAUAUACUGGAAUAGUUAAUAAGGUAAAUACCCUAAUUUCAUAUAUAUUGGAAUAUUUAACAAGGUGAAUACCCUAAUUUCAUAUAUACUGGAAUCUCCUGAUUAAAAACAAUGAGUAGAAAAAUAAUAGCGGAAGCAUACCUGAAUCCAUUGAAGAAGAAACCUUAUAGGAAGAAAACCCUUUGAGAUGGUCUUCCAAUUUUAGCCACUAGAUUCUGUGUCAAUUUCUCUCUGAGAGGAUUUUCAGAAAUUGGAAUGCGUAGUCGUAGAAUGGGGACCAUAACCCUAUUUAUAAACCGCUAGGGCAGUUUUAAUUUUAUCACAAUUAUAUUUCUGUCCCUCAUAGAAAUAAUAAUUGUCUAAUGGUAUCUACACAAUAAUCUCAUGACAAUUAUACCCUUAAGCCAAUUAAUCAAUUAUUAAUUAGAUUACUAUAUUUAGGCUUAAUUAAAUGAUAGCACACACAUUUUAAUUAUUUACACGUGUGACCCAAAUUAUAGAUUAAUUACAAAAAUUAAUCUAACACCUCAUGCCCGCAGUCUCAUCAGUACUGCUUUCAAGUAGUUGCUUCCUUUGCUUCAGCAUCUCUACCCUUUGUUCCAAUUGCUUCACAUGAGCGGUGGCUUGAUCCAGCAAAUCAAGUGACUUCCACUAUAUAUGUAUGCAUGCAAUAACUUCAUUAGUUCACAAUAAAGAGAAAAUCGACCGACGACGGUGUUAGUACUUACCUUGGGUGCCCGUGGAGUAGGAUUAAUUAGAGAAGCAAGCUUGGAAAGGAGAUCUUUCGUGAACAUUCUUCGGUUUCUUUCUAACAUAUUUCGAGUAAGUGUAGGUACUUUACUCCCCCGGCGGGGCAUCUUUUCUUUGCCGAAAAGCAGAUGGAAACCCUAAACCAAGAUAAAGAAUGACACGAAUUAUAUUUGGCUCAAAUCGGCUAUAUACAGUGGUGAAUAUCUCCCGUGAGAGGGACAGAAUUAGCUCAGAAAUGUGAACUGGCUGGUUUGCUUCCACACGACAUGCUAAUUGAUUCUACGGAUGAGGGCUAGAAAAUGAAUAGUUAUACCCCACUUCAUCCAUCUCCAGGCCAUCCCGGGUAGUGACUGAGAUGGACGAAUGCGAAGACUCUUGUUAAGACUCCUAUGCCUGAUAAAACAAAAUUUUGAGGACGGUCGCAGACGUACUGUUAUUAAAAACAAAAAACAGCUGUUAUUAAAAACAAAAAAACAGCUCAUAGCUUCAAAGCUACGUUUCAUAAAUUUUCAUUUAAAAAAUUUGUUUUUAAAAUAUAGGUUGAUUUUCAAAUAAGUUUAAGGUUUUUUUAUUUUUCCUAGUGAUCUUUAAAUAUAAAAAAAAAUAUAAAAUAAAUCCAUACUUUUUCCAUAAGAUAAUCUACUUUUUUACAUAAAUUUUAUUUCUAAUUUUUUAUUUUAAAAACAAAAAACAAAAAAUAUAUCCAAAAAGGAUAUUGAAUUGUUGUGAAUAAACUGAUGACAAAUAAAGAUCCUAAAAUUUAAAUCAAUUUCUCCUAGUUCAAUAUUAAAAUCAGCUUAAAUAAAAUGUAAUUUUUGUUGCACUUUUGUUUUUAAAAUUUUAAAAUUAAUAUUUUAAAACCAAAUUUGAAAAUAUGUGAGUUUGAUUUAUAAAUUUUGAUAGAAGAAAUUAAAAAAUAAGUGUAUCCAAAAACUUUUUGCUUUCUAAAUUUUUUAAAAAUAAAUAUUAAAAAUAAGAAAUCGUUAGUACUCAUGACUCACUUCCAUGUUUUUGAAUAUCAAAUCAACGGCAUUGACAUAUGGUGUAUAUAUGUAGAAGUAUAGAACAUAUAAAAUUGGCCCAAAUUAUUAAAAAUAAUUUUUGUUCAAAACUUUUUACUUUUGUGUGUAAGAAAUGGAAACAAACAAACUGCAUUGAUUCAAUAAAACCUUAUCCUCAGUGGCGUUUAACAUCAAAGUUUAGUAUAAAAGGUAGAAGGGAAUUACUAUUAGGGUCUCAUUGACAUUGACAUUAUGCUUGGGAAUUAUAUUUUUAAAAUAGUUUAAUUAAAUAUAAAUAUAAUUAUAAUUAAAUAUAAAUAUGUAAAGAAUUCAUAAAAUAAAUGAAGAUAUCAUAAAUGAAAACAAAAAAAAGUAUUUUUGAAGCUAUACCUUAUUAUUAUGAAAAAGAAAAGUGCACAUACGUUCAUCAUCCGACAUUGUCCUUCGUGUUCGUUUGCCAAGUUGUUGGAAAGCACCCACUUCCGAUUCCAAAAACGGGUCGGUCCGGUCGGUCUGACUGCUAGUCGGUCACCGUUUCGGUUCGGUCCAGUCAAUUAGACCAGAUUGGGAUUGAAUUGGGGUUGGAGUGCUUGAAUUGACGGUCCAAUCGGUGAACUGAACGAACCGGUCAGUUCCCUACGAACUGGUCAGUUCAAUUGAUUUUAAUUUUUUUUUAAACAACAUUAAAACAACACCAUUUUGGAGUCUUAAAUAAGAAAAUGAAAAUUUGAAAAUCCUAAGCCUACAACCUCCAAAGUCCAAACCCUCCCUCCUCCCCUCGUAGUAGUGGUCGGCUUGUCGCUCCGCCCGUUGUCGACACGUCGUAGCCCGCAACACCCAAAUAGCUUCCGCCGAUGGCCCGUGACACCCACACAACUCCCGUCGACGUUGGAAACCUCUCUCUCUCUCUCUCUCUCUCCCCCUCCCCUCUCCCGGUUGGUACCCCGCCCUUGGCGUUGGAGUAUAUUUUUUUCUGAUUUUCUAUGCUAGUGUGAGCUUUUGACAUCCUGUUCCCCCUCCCCUCCCGAUUGGUACCUCGCCCUUGACAUUGGAAUAUUUUUUUUUUCUGAUUUUUUGUGCUAGUGUGAGCUUCUAACAUCAUGGUUCUAAUUCAUACUUGGGUCCCAACAAAUCCUCAAGGUGCUGAAAGACUACCCCCGGGUAUCAUUGUAUCUAAGUCAAAUUUCUAUCUCCGUAGAUUAUGGGGUUUGCCUAGUAUGGGGAAACCUCUCUCUCUCUCUCUCUCUCUCUCUCCCUCUCCCCUCUCCCAGUUGGUACCCCACCCUUGGCGUUGGAGUAUAUUUUUUCUGAUUUUCUGUGCUAGUGUGAGCUUUUGACAUCAUGUUCCCCCUCCCCUCCCGAUUGGUACCUCGCCCUCGACAUUGGAAUAUAUUUUUUUCUUAUUUUUUGUGCUAGUGUGAGCUCCUGACAUCAUGGUUCUAAUUCAUAUUUGGGUCCCAACAAAUCCUCAAGGUGCUGAAAGACUACCCCCGGGUAUCACUGUAUCUGAGUCAAAUUUCUAUCUCCGUAGAUUAUGGGGUUUGCCUAGUAUGGGGAAACCUCUCUCUCUCUCUCUCUCUCUCUCCCUCCCCUCUCCCGGUUGGUACCCCACCCUUGGGUUGGAGUAUAUUUUUUCUGAUUUUUUGUGCUAGUGUGAGCUUUUGACAUCCUGUUCCCCCUCCCCUCUCGAUUGGUACCUCGCCCUCGACAUUGGAAUAUAUUUUUUCUGAUUUUUUGUGCUAGUGUGAGCUCCUGACAUCAUGCUUCUAAUUCAUAUUUGGGUCCCAACAAAUCCUCAAGGUGCUGAAAGACUACCCCCGGGUAUCAUUGUAUCUGAGUCAAAUUUCUAUCUCCGUAGAUUAUGGGGUUUGCCUAGUGAGGUGUGUCUUUUACCAUAACCUUGAUGCGAUUUGUAGUUGAGUUGUUAAUUAAUCCAUUAUAAAAUGAAUCUGGGGAGGAAUCUGGUGUUGUUUCCCCUUGGGCUAAUUGCACAUUGAUUACAGGACCAACCACUGAUCAUUAAGUUUUGGGCAUGGUUUGAGAUUUUAGCUUGGUCACUAAAUUUGGUGUUCUUGCUGAGAAAUGCACCAGUGCACAUGUUUGCUGGAUGUCAAGCUUGCUUCGGUCCAAUUGAGACAAAAAGGGCACCAAUUGUCAUGUAUAGAUGUCAAAUCCAAUCUGAUAAAAGCUCUCUAUGGAUGCUUCUUCAAUAUAACUGUCAACAACACUUGCUGUCCUAGGCUUACUAUAUAUACUAAUUUUUUUAAUUUUUUAUAAUAUAUAAAAUAAUAAAAUAUAUAUUUCUGAUGUCACCGAUUCGACCGCAGUUCGACCGUCGAUUUGACCAAUGAACCGUGAACCGAUAACUUUUCUGAUUCAAUGAUUGACCCGAUUUUGAAAACAUUGGUUUUCACUAAAAAUAACUUAUUUCUUUUUUUAAAAAAUCCACAUACAAAAUUUGAUUCCAAAAUAAUAUCCAAUAUAAUGCGUCUUUACUACAUAAGCAUUUAUAUUAUAAAACCGUUGUUGGUAAGUACGGUUUUGACAAUUUUUUUUAAUGUUUAUUUAUAUAAUUUUAUUUACUUUUAUAUAUAUAUAUAUAUAUUAUGAACAAAUUAUUAUGUAUUAAAAUAAAAAUAUAAUAAAUUUAAAAUUUAAAUUGAACUCAUAUACAUGUGAAAUCAUAUAUCAAUACAUUAUAGUAUAUAAAAAUAAUAAUUAAUUAAUAUAAUAAUUUAGAUAUAUAUACAUAUAUAUUUUGCAAAUAUGAUUUCAUAUUUUAUUUGUUUUAAAUAAAUAUAAUUUAUUAUAUUUAAUUUAUAUUUAAAAAUAAUUAAUUAAUUAUAAUUUAUAUUAAAUAUAACUCUAAUUUUUGAAUAAAAUUAAACAAAAAUAUUUUUAUAUCAAAUUAAAAAUACCAAUUAUUUAUUUCAUAUAUUAUUAUUUUUAAAUAAUCAUAUAAGUUUAUUAACUACUUACAUAUUUUUAAUAAAUAAAAAUAAAAAUAAUAUAAUAAAUUUAUUUUUAAAAAUAAAGUUAUAAUGUAUAUAGUAAAUCUAAAUGGUAAUUGGUGACUAUAACUUCAAAAUCAAGUUUAUUAAAGCUUAAAACGGUAGUUGAUGAUUACAAUUUUAAUUUUUUUUAAACUGUCACAGCCAUAACUAUUAAUUAUGGAGCCACAUAGAGUGCUGAGAUGCCCCCUGCCAUGUAGAUCAAAUUAUUGGAAAAUAGAUGGGAUUUAGUCCUGGACCUGAAAUUUUUAUCCAUAAAUUUUUACUAUCAAAAUAAGUUUAUUAUUUGAGUUUUAAAUUAUUAUUUUUAAAUUAUUAAACUUGUUAAUGAAUAUAACACAUUAAGUAUUAUUUAUUUGCCUAUAAUUGUUUUUAUAUUGAUUGAAUCAUUAUUUAAGUUUAACUUAUUUUUAAAAAUUACUAGACUUAUUAAAUAAUCAAAUGCAUUAAGUCUUUUUUAAUUUAGAGUUUAUUUAUCUAGUGAAAAAAAAAUGGAAAAAAAUGAUUCUAUAUAUAAAAAGGAAAUAAUAAAGUUGUUGUAAAUCAAUUUUUAUUCAUAAAUUUAUGAUAUUAAUUAAUUUACUAUUUGAGUUUCAAAUUAUUUUUAAAUAUAUAUAUAUAUAUAUAUAUAAAGAAACUAAUUUAGGUAUUUAAAAUAAAUUUUGAUUUAUGAUUUUUUAAUGUUAUUGAGUUUAAUGAUUUUUUAAAUAUUAUUUAAAUUAAUUUUUGAGUUUCAAUUUAUUUUUUAAAAUUAAUAAAAUUUUAUACAUCAAGUAUAGUUUGAUUUGAUUAAUUUACUUAAUGAUUUUUUAAAAAAAAUUAAAGGAAAAAUAAAAAUACUAGAUCAUGGAAAGAGAAAGGAAAUGAUAUUAAAUUCACUUUUAUAUACUUUUUUUUUUUUUUUUUCAAAAUUUUCUAUAUAUUUUUUUUUUUAGUUUUUUUUUUCUUUGAAUCUUUCCUUGAUACUUUUGGGAAUCUUAGCAUUAAGUCUUUCCAAGAGUGUCAAUAGCAUUUACUCAACUUUCUGCUUUAGAGGAAUAAUUUCUUAUGAUCUUUCAAGCGUGCAUAUGGGAGAAGCAGAGGAUGGUCGAUGUUAUUCAAAUUAAUGCUUUAGAAAUGGAGUGGAAAUAAAGCUAUACAAGCCAUUUUACCCUUUCUAAUCAUCCAAUAGGCAUUAAGAAAAAAAAGAACAAUUUGCUGCGUCCAUCACCAUGUGUUUGGAAAAGGAUGGUCAAUACUUCAAUUAGUUUCUUACAUUCAUAUCCGGGUCACUUUCCCUGCCUCAUCCUCACCUCACCUAAAUCAUGCUGUGCAUAUAUGCUAGAGACAAAGGCGAAAUCCUCAUCGAAACUGUUGAUUUUGGGUAAAAUACUGAUCAAGUUAGAUAUAAGUUUCUCAAAUGAAGCAUCAACGUUGUGAUCUUCUCGUACAUUUUCAAAAUCCUGGUGUUUUCCAGGAAAAAAAAAAGUCACGUGCGAAAGCAUUGGACGCAGGGGACCAGGUCUGGUAAUGUAAGGGGAGAGUUACCAAUUCAAGAAGAAACAAAAGAUGAUUGAUCUUUUUUUGUUGUCUACGAAUGCCACAUUUGGAUGCCGGAGAUUAAUUCUGAACCCUGCAAUUCUCUAAGUGUCGGAUGGUGCUUUAAUAGGUUUUGUCAUAAUCUGGGUCCUUUUCUUAGUGUGAAUCAUUUUAUUUUAAUUGCAACUACGUCUAGCGUGUCAUCUUCUCUGUUUGAAAGUCGCGGACUUGGAGUCAAAAUAAGAGAGGGUGAACAAUUCAUUUUUGGCAGGUUUACUUUGGAGGAAGGCGACACAAACUCAUUAACGAGGAAUGUAUUUCCUCUCGUAUAGGCGAGGAACAUGAUAUUUGGAAAGGAAAUGGACUAUUUUAACCCUAUACUAAACAAUUGUUAAAUAUUUGAAUAUUUAAAAAUAAAUAAUUAUAAAUAUAAUUAAAUAAUUGUAUAUUUGAAUAUGUAAAAUUACUUAAAUGUUUUUAAAUUAUUAAAAAUACUAUAUAUUUGCUAAACAUACAAAUCAUAUAUUUUUCUAAUCUAUAGUUAUAAUAUCUCAAAUUUAGUCAUAGAAAACCCGGAAUAAUAACUUUAAAAUCCUAAAAAUACUGUUCUGUCCAAUUGAUCCCCACAUAAUUAUUUUCAAUUUUUAAAAAUCAAUUUCAUAAUUUAAACUAAUGAUUUGUUUAAAAAUAAAAAUAAAUGCAAAUGAUAAAAAUAAAUUUUAUUCAUUUAAAUGAGAUAUUUUUUUAAUAUUUAAUAAUAAUGGUGAAAAUUAUGAGCAUAAAGAAAAAGUGAUAAGUUAUACACUUCAAAAACUGUCAUAUUCAUUAGAUUCUUUUUCCUAGACUACAUGUGAAAACUUCAAUAAAAUUCUUGAUUUGGGAUUCAUUACCUUACAUUCUUUUUCUUAUAUUGAACCGGUGCCGUGUAUGACCUAUGCCCUGUCUUGGUUGCUUCCUUGCAUAUGCCAACCACUUUACCUUUAAAAAUCUUACAUUCAUUACCUUACAAUAAAGUGAUAAGUUAUGUUCAACCGAAUUCUUCAAAAAUUCAGUUCCUUCAAUCUUUCAUGCACCCUUGAAGCGUCUACGCCAAUUCUAGAGAUAACAGCCUGCAAAAAUGAAUUAAUCAGGUACAAUUAUGUAUAUAUAAAAGAAAGACUCGGACGAUGGAAUGAAAUAAUGUAUUAUAUCUAUAGCAGAUCUUAUAUCUAUUUUGCAUCUGCAUGUCUUAUAAUAUAUUAUCUAUUAUGAAAUAUUCAGAUACAAUUAUGUAUGUAUUAUAGAUAUAAGACAUUAGUCCGACGAUGCAGAUGGUUUUUUAUUAAUUUCGAUAUACCUUGGAAUAUAUACUAUAGCAGAUCCUAUCCCCCACUAUGCAUUGGUUAACAGUCACAACUUGAACUAUUUCUUCUCCAAAAACCGAUAACUUCAUGCAACCUGAACUUCUUAUUUCACCCGCUAAUCAGACCUAGCUCUAAACUACAACCCAUAUCUCUUACAGUGAUCACUGGUACCAUCUGUGCGUCUUAUAUCUAUUUUUUUCUUUCAAACUUUUUCCCUUACAAAAUAAAGAUCCAAUUCUAUAUGCUUUGUUCGAGCAUGAAGAAUGGGAUUGGCAGAUAACAACACUAUACUGAGAUUAUCACACCACAAACCUGGUAUUCUAGGUAUCUUGCAUUGCAAUUCAGAUAGUAAGGAUUGAAUCUAGGUUACUUUAGCAACCAGUCCAACUAAACUUCUAUAUUCUGCCUCUGUGCUGGAACGAAAAACUGCUUGUUAUUUUUUGGAAUGCCAAGACAUAAUAUUAUUGUUAAAGAAGACACAAUGACCUAAAAAUUGAUCGUCUAUCAUUAGGGUCUGAACCCCAAUCAACAUCAGAAAAUCCAACUAAACUCAACUCAAUAACUUUCUUUAGAUGAAUGCUAUAGUCCUUGGUUACUCUUAAGUACCUCAGAAUACGUUUUACAAUCUUCCAAUGUUCAUCUAUAGGCCUUUGCAUAGACUGACAAACUUUAUUGACAUUGUAAGCCAAUUCAGGUCUAGUUACAGUAACAUAUUGUAAAGCUCCUACUGUACUUUUGUAUAGUUGGGCAUCUUCAACAAGAACUCCAUUUUGGGAACUAAUCUUUAAGCCAUUGGUCAUGGGAGUGAGAAGACCCUUGGCUUACAACAUUUUAGUUUUCACCAAAAGAUCCCUUAUAUACUUCUGUUGAGACAUAUGAAAUCCAUUCACUGUAUGAUGAGUAACCUGAAUGCCUAGAAAAUAGGCUAUUUCUCCUAGAUUUUUCAAAAAGAACAUGACAUCCAAUUGUUUGAUAAGAGUAGUGACUACCUCUGCAUUGCUUCAAGUUGUCAAAAUAUCAUCUACAUAAACAAGAAUGUAAGCGGUAUGGGUUGUUGUAAUCAUGAAAAAGAAAGAUUGAUCUACCUUGGAAGAGACAAAUCCAAACUGCAAAAGAGCUUUGUGAAGCCUCUCAAACUAGGCUUGCAAUGCCUGUUUGAGUUUAUAGAGAGCUUUAUGCAGUCUACAAACAUAUUCAGGGUGUUUUUUCAUCAACAAAGCCUUGAGGUUGUGACAUAAACACUUCUUCUUGUAAAAUACCAUUCAAAAAGGCAUCAUUUAUAUCCAAUUGCCUAACACUCUAACCUCUAGAUAAGACAAUGAUGAGUACAAUCCAGAUAGUUGUUGGUUCCACAAUUGGGUUAAAAGUCUCAUUAAAAUCAAAUCCAGCUUGUUGAUGGAAACCCUUGGCUACCAACAUAGCUUUGUAUUUUUCCACACUACCAUUAAGAUUUUCUUUGACCCUAUAGACCCAUUUAUAGACAAUAGGUAUUCUUCCUUCAAGUAAAGGUACUAAAGACCAAGUUUUGUUUCUUUGCAAAGCUUCAAACUCAAAUAUCAUGGUUUGUUUCCACUCAUCUUUUUAUAAAGCCAACUCAAUUGUCUCUGGCUUUUUUAUUGCUGCAAUAUACACUUUAGGUUUGGUAAUGCCAUUUUUGCUUCUUGUUGUCAUGACAUAGGUAUUCCCUUGACCUCUUGGUUGACCUACCCUCCUAUUCAAAUCAAUAUUACUAAAAGAAACAAAAUCUUGCACAACAACAUCAAUUACUAGAGAAACAUAAUGUACAUUAGGAACAAAAGGUAAAUCAACCUCAUUGAUUGGCCUAUCAAUGGAAGUAACAACAUGACAUGAGUAUGAAAUAGGAUGAGAAUGAGUUUGAGAGGAGACCUUUAGAAUAGGUAGACUAGAAAAUGAGGCAGAAUUAGAUAGUGAAGAGGAAUUAUGAAUAGAGUAAGAAGAUUGACCAGUUUAAGCAAAUGGAAAUGUUGUUUCAUCAAAUAUAACAUCUCUAGAAAUAUACAACUUGCCAUUUGAAUCCAAACACUUAUAUCUAUUGUGGUUUAAGUUGUAUCCCAUAAAAGUGCAAAUAAUGCUCCUAAAUUUAAUUUAUGUUUGUUAAAGGGACAAGUAUUAAGAUAACAUGCACAACCAAACACUUUUAGAAAAGAAUAGUUGGGUUUGGUUUUGAAGAGAAGUUAUAAAGGACAUUUUUGUCUUAGGAUAGGAGUUGAAAGUCUAUUAUGAAGAAACACAUCAACUUUGAAAGCUUCGUCCUAAUAUUUGAGAGGGAUUGAAGAUUUGGCUAACAAGGCUAAACCAUUUUCAAUAAUGUGGCGAUGUUUCUUUCGGCCACUCCAUUUUUUUCUUGAGUAUGAGGGCAAGACACUAUAUGAAUGAUACCAUGUUGAGUAAGGAAUGAUUGAAAAGACUUGAACUCACCACCCUAAUAAGAUUGAAAGGCUUUUAUUUUGGAAUCAAGCUAAAGUUCAACUUGAGGUUUGAAAUUGAUAAAGGUUUGGAUAACAUUAGAUUUAUUUCUAAGAGGAUACAACCAAGUGAUUUAGAAUAGGCACCGAAAAAUGAACAUAGUAUCUAUAACCAUUACUUGAAGAGACAAGUGGGGGCCCAUAUAUCAGAAUGAAUCAAUUGUAGAGGAACAAUGUAAACUAUUUUAGACCUAGAAAAUGGAAAUUUAUGAAUUUUGUUUAAACAACAUGAUGAACAAAAUGAAAGAGUCAUUUUAUUGAUAUUAAGGACAUUACAUUAUGAAAGAAUUGUUUUUAUAACUUGAAUAGAAGGAUGACCUAAUCUGGCAUGCGAGAGAUAAAAAACAUUUGGCUUUAUUGAAUCAUAAGAAUUUGAAACAAUACAAGUUUGAACAUUGCGACUUUUUAUAGUAGAGGACGAUUGACAAAUAUUAAAGGUAAUAUUUGAUAAAUCAAACGAGUAUAGACCACCUUUAACGAUCCCUGCAAAAAAACAACCUCAGAAUCCUAAUCUUUACCAAAACAAGCAUCAGAAUGGAAUUCAAAGAAGACAUUAUUGUCUUUUGCAAAUCUGGAAACAUUGAGCAGAUUCUUUGUAAUAAAAGGAGCCAAAAGCAUAUGAUUUAAGAAAAACACUUUAGGAGUACAAGAGGUAAUUAAAGAAGAAUGACCAAUUUGUGAAAUUGACAAACCUGAACCAUCACCAAUCUGCACUUUGUCUUGACUAGUAAAUUCAUUGUUAUGGUGAAGAUUAUUGGCAUUUGGAGUCACAUGAUUCGAAGCACCAAAAUUAGGGUACCAAGAGUUAUCAUUGAACACCUUAAGUGUUGUAAACAAAGCUGAGGAAGAUGAGAGACUUGGCUAAAAUAAGCAUGAGGAGCACCAUCAUUCUGAGAAGAUGAGGUUGGACUAACAAAACUUGGAUCAAACCUGUAGUAACACCUCUCAACUUCAUGUCCAAACCUUCUAUAAAGUUGGCAUUGAGGUUUGCCAUUAUUAUUCUAUUUGUUAUUCCAGCUAGAUCUCCCACCAUUUCCUUUGCCUACAUUAAAAUUUCUACCUUUAUAGGAGUUUCCUCUACCAAAGUUUCUAGCAUUGUAAUUUCCAUUGAAACAACCUCCAUUACCUUGACUAGCACCUCAAUCUCUUUCUUAUCCAAAGUUGGUAGAAAAAUUGCCUCUGCCACAACUUCCAUAACCAUUAUUAGUAGGAGACGAGGCAAAAUUGGCACUUGGUGCAGAGUCAAGAGAUUUAACAUUCUUUUCAAUUCUAGCUUCUUAUGCCAUAAUCAAAUAUUGAACUUCUUCCACUGUGUAAGACUCAGAUCUAGUAAGAAUGGAGGUGAUGAAAGCAUCAUACUCAUUAGUGAGGUCAUUUAGAAUAGCAUCAAUAUGGACCUUAUCUGUGAGAAUGUGACCAACCGAGGUUAAAGAAUCAACACAACUCUUGAUUUUGGAUUAGAUAUUCAACAACAUUCAAAGAUCCUUUUUUCGUAGCCUUAAGCCAAUCCUUAAACUGUCCAAUUUUAAUCCUGAUUUGAGAUGCAAAAUAUUACUCUAAUUUCACCCAAACUUGAAAAGAGGUUUCAUAUCCAACUAACUUCAGAAGAACUUUCUCAGAGAUUGACGGGAACAACCAUGAGAGAAGCAAUUGGUCCUGUUGUUCCCACUCAACAAAGACUCUAUUCACAUUUCCAACUUGUGCAAUUUCUUUUAACAUAAACUGUAGAGGAAUUGUAGACUCAAAGAAGGCAAAUCUUUGUAAUCCAUAACGUUUGAUCACAUAAACCAUUUGUUGUUUCCAGAUGAGAAAAUUGUUGUAAUCAAGUUUCACAAAAAAGGAAUGUGUGAAACUUACAAGUAAAAAAUUGUGAUUGUUCUUGAGUUGCCAUUGAUGAAUCUUGAGCAAUGGUUUGAAUCAGAGUCUCCAUCAAAGGCAUUUAUGGAUCAAGACUCCAAAUUCCAGAGUAAAUAAUGCCUUUUCAGUCUGAAAUUUUCAACAAACUACAAAAAAAACCCUAAGAAAGAAAACCUUAACUUUCUAUUCCACCAUUUUUUGACUUUCCAAACCCUAGAAAUUUGUAGCCUUAGAAAGCUUUGAUACCAUAUGAGAUAACUUAACGGAGAAAAGAAUUUCUCAUUUUGCUAAAAUUAAUGAUUACAACAAAGUAUUAAAAUACCAUUUUCAACAACUAACUAAUUAUGUUUUAUUCUAACAAAUCAACUAACUAAUUCUAUUUUAUCUUAACAAAUCUAUAUAUGUGGACAACUUUCAUUAACCACUAUUCCUAACAACCAAUAGUGAUAUAGGUGGGAGUGCAUACCAUGGACGGUUGAGUAGGAGUAAGAAAAGUAAGCCUAGAAAUAAGAUCUUUCACAUGCGUUCUUUUGUUUCAUUCUAACGCACUUCGAUCAAAUUUAGAUAAGUUAUAGCCCUGGCAGGGCAUACUUUCUUCCUUGACUAGUUUUAGCCUUCCUUUUUUUCUCCUUAUGCUUCCAACAGUACUUGAUAGGCGCAAAAACCAAAAACUCAGAUGGGAAAACCCAAAAGGAACUUGGGGAACAUUAUUUUUUUUAUGUACGAGUCCACUCUUGUGGAAGAGACAGGUGGAGUGCAACAAUGGGAAGAUUUUUUGGGUUUGAGUGCUCCUUAUUGACCCUACACAUGAGACAACUAGUAUACAUACACCAUGACAUCAUGAAAUUAGCUAAUGAAAGCCACACGCCAUUGACAUCAUGAAAUUACCUGUCAUUUGGGCCAAAAUGGCCCACUUUUUAAACUUAAAGCUGACAACGGGCUGAUUUUGAAACUAUUGUUCAAAAUAGCCCUUUGAAGCCACAUCAACUCAUAAAAUCAAUAUUUUAUACCCUUUUUACUUUACCUUUUCUCCAGCCAUCCCCAAGCUCUAUUCUCUCCCAUUCUACUAUCUCUCUGUGCAAUUUUUUUUUUGUAAACCCUAGCCCCACCAGUGUGCCACUAAAAAAGACGGUGGAACUACAAAAAAGUUUAAGGUGAGUCAUAAUCUUCUUUUUGGCUUAUAUAAAGUUUUUGACACUUUCCAAUUUUUUUUCCAUCUUAAAAUCUCGGUUUUUAGAAUUUUUUUUGUUGGGCUGUGUUGAUUGUGGCUGUGUUGAUUGUGUUUUGUUGCUAUGUUUGGUUGGUGAGAAUUGGCUACAAGGAGAGUAAAUUAUUGUUACAAAAAACCGAGGCCCUCCCAUUGCAACUGUUGGGCUUAAUUAAAAUGAGUUUUUAACAAAACAAGAAUAGGAAAUGAGAUGGUUGUUGUUUAAAAAAAAUGGAGGUUUUGGGUUUGUUUUUUUUUUGUAUUUAAGUCCAUGUAUACACAAACACAUGUACAUUAAAAUCUGUCAUUAUUUUUUACUUAAAUAAAUAUAAUUUUUUUUUAUGUAAUAACCUUUUGUUAUUAUUUAUGUGAAGGCAAUUAUGACUGAUUCCACAGUAGAAGUGCUAUGUUAUUGGAAUGGAAUAAUUUUGAACAGAAACGGAUUUGAGAUAUAUUGGAAAUAAUGUAGAGACUGAGCCUAUAGAUGUGCCUAGCUAAUACUUACACAAAAGAGGGUUAGCUCAAUUGGUAGCUAGCUCCCUUAUGGAUCCAUAAGGGAAGGGAUUCGAAUCCCCUUCCCUUCAAAAUUGCGCAAGCCCCAUUCGGACAGCCCGUCCGGACAGUCGGCCAGGCCCGUUGAUUGGUCAACGGGCUCAAUGGCCCGCCCCGGGCUGGGCCAUGGGCCUUACUCCUCCGGGCAAAACUCUCUGUUCGGUUAUUGUUUGAGUUUUGGGUCAAAAUGGCCCAUUUUUUAAACUUAACGUUGAAAACGGGCUCAUUUUCAAACUAUUGUUCAAAAUGGCCUCUUUGAUGCCAUGUAGGCGCCACGUAAGGGUCUGCAACGGGCCGGGCCGGGCCAUUGAGCCCGUUGAUUGGUCAAUGGGCCGGGCCGGGCUAGGCCCUUAGUAUAUCUAAGGCCCAUGGCCCAGCCUGUGGGCCCUCAAGCUGGGUGGGCUGUCCAGACAGGCUUACGCGAGCCGGCUAGGUGGGCUGCCCGGGUGAGUUUGGGUAAAAAUUAAAAUAGUUUUCAGUUUUGAAGGGAAAGGGAUUCGAACCCCUUCCCUUAUAGGAGCUAGCCACCAAUUGAGCUAACCCUCUUUUGUGUAAGUAUUUUGCAUUAGUUAUAUAUAUAUUAGAAAUGUUGUAUGAUUUUUGAAAAAAAAAUAAAAGUGAGCUGGUUGUUCAACGGUCACAUGACCGUUGAACAUGCCUACCACUCAUAAUUCAAUAUUAUGACUGUUGAACGGUCUUGAAAUUUAAAAAAAAUAAAAAAUUAAAUCCUAAUAUUUAAAUCCCUAUAAAUAUUAAAUACCCUCAAUUUUUUUUCUAUUCUCUCAACUCUUAAGCUCUCUCCCAUUCCACAAUCUCUACAUUAUUUCCAAUAUAUCUCAAAUCCAUUUCUCUUCUCAAAAUUGUUCCAUUCCAAUAACAUAGCACUUCUACUGUGGAAUCAGUCAUAAUUGCCUUCACAUAAAUAAUAGCAAAAGGUUAUUACAUAAAAAAAAUUAUAUUUAUUUAAGUAAAAAAUAAUGACAGAUUUUAAUAUACAUAUGUUUGUGUAUACAUGGACUUAAAUACAAAAAAAAAAAAAAAAAACCCAAAACCUCCAUUUUUUUAAACAACAACCAUCUCAUUUCCUAUUCUUGUUUUGUUAAAAACUCAUUUUAAUUAAGCCCAACAACUGCAAUGGGAGGGCCUCAGUUUUUUGUAACAAUAAUUUACUCUCCUUGUAGCCAAUUCUCACCAACCAAACAUAGUAACAAAACACAAUCAACACAGCCACAAUCAACACAGCCCAACAAAAAAAAUUCUAAAAACCGAGAUUUUGAGAUGGGAAAAAAAAUUGGAAAGUGCCAAAAACUUUAUAUAAGCCAAAAAGAAUAUUAGGACUCACCUUAAACUUUUUUGUAGCUCCACCGUCUUUUUUAGUAGCCCACUGGUGGGGCUAGGGUUUACAAAAAAAAAUUGCACAGAGAGAUAGCAGAAUGGGAGAGAACAGAGCUCGGGGAUGGCUGGAGAAAAGGUAAAGUAAAAAGGGUAUAAAAUAUUGAUUUUAUGGGUUGAUAUUGCUUCAAAGGGCUAUUUUGAACAAUAGUUUCAAAAUCAGUCCGUUGUCAACUUUAAGUUUAAAAAGUGGGUCAUUUUGGCCCAAAAGUCAAAUUACCUAAUGAAGGCCUUAAUCACUAUAACAAAUUUCACGUUUUGCUAUCAUAAUUUUAGGCACAAAUAAAUUUUCAUGGAAAAAAGAAGAUUUUUGCAAUAAAUUUUAUUUUUAUGACAAAUAUGAAUUUUUUAGCGAUGAAGUUUGUAUAAAUGAGAAAAUAUUAUAUUUAACCAUAUCAUAUUUCAUGACAAAUAAUUUUUCAGAAGAUUUUGACAUAUUGAAUUACACCAUAUUACAAGUUAAGUUUAAUUUAAGUUAAUUCAAUAUUAAUUUCACACAAAAUAAUUAAAGAAAAGGGCUCAAUCACGUCAGGUGGUAAAUAGUUUUUUAUGUGCCAUAACAUUUUAGAAAAAUCAAUAAUUAUUUUUAGGAUUCAAUCCAGCAUUAAAUCCUAAAUCCAUGGUUUUCAAUUAAAUCAUUUGUACUUCUUUUUUUUUUCCCAAUCAAUAAUUUUCUAACGGUUAUUUGUCUUUCGUUUGGAAGGUUUAGAUCCAUGGUUUCUCUCCAACGAAACGUAGGUGUUUUCCUGAGAACCUAGGGCUUUUACACACAUGGCGGUGGUGAAAUUAGAGAUUGUCGAGAGAAGUCAUAGACGCCGAUAGGGUUAGGUCGUCGGUGCUUUCCUCGUUAUCCUGCUUGUUAUGGCGAUGAAUCCAGUGAUCUCGCUCUUCGGUCGCAGCAACAAUUGUAACUUGCCAUUGUGCGAGGGUAUUUUCUUUAAUCGUCUGUUUGGUUUCUGAGAGAAUUGAGCAAAAGAAAAGAAAAGAAAAGUGAGAGCGAGGUGGUUAGUCUUGGAUGAGUGGAGGGCUCCUAUUUCAUUUCCUACAUUUUCUCAGUAGUGACCAAUUAUAUGACUAAUUUGAUUUGAAAUUUUAUGCAUUUUGUUAUUUGAGUUUUAGAUUUUUCUCAAUCUAAGAGCUAGUUUUGUUUUAUUAAAUUUUCUCGAAAAGAUUAAAUCCAACUUGAGAGUUGAACCUAAUAUCAGAAUCAUUUUUUUAAUUGUUGAAAGGAUUGAAAUUUUGUGUGAUGAAUUAAUAACCGGUUCUUGCUCUUCCAUGUAUUCAAUUCUAUUUUGAAGAUGAGUUAUUG